rfam:Triticum aestivum genome assembly, contig: Triticum_aestivum_CS42_TGACv1_scaffold_223946_3B
AUCAUACUACCUCUGAUCCAUAUUACUUGUCUUAGAUUUGUCUAGAUACGGAUGUAUCUAACACUAAAACGUGUCUAGAUACAUCCGUAUCUAGACAAAUCUAAGACCAAUAUGGAUCGGAGGGAGUAGUUA